UGGUAAAGACUAUAAAUUCAAAUAAGAUUAACGAAAGGAUUAACAGUGCGUGAACAAAUAAUUUUUUUAAAUAUGCUUUGUUUGUUUUUUAGUUAAUUAAGUUAAGUUAAGCUUCUUUUGAGCAAAACAAAAAAUAAUUAAUAAAUAAACGUAUAUGCCGAAUGCAAAACAAAUUACUCUCUCAAAUGUAUGCAAAUAUGUGUUUUACUUUUGCAAAUAGCUUCAUUGAGCCGCAUUAAACGUGUAUGUGUUGUGCACAGACGGACUUUGUCACUAGCCAAAUUUAUGGAUUAUUUCAGUCUCGGGGAGACAAACAAAUAAUAAAACUGUUGCCAAUGGCAACUUUUGGCCUCUUGCCUCAAAGCGUGCGCUUGCUGUCCAAUUUCUAGCCAUUUUCUAGCGGCGGCUGAGAUUGAGUCAUGUUUGGCCACGCAUUCUCUCAACGGAAAUUGCAGUCAGUAUGGAAUUCAAUGCGUGGCAGCGAUUCUGAAAAAACAAUUUCUGUGGGCGUUGCAUGCAAAAUUAAAUUCUUAGCUUUAUGGUCAAACAACUGAAGCCGGCAGAGAGUCUAUUAAAUCAUGGUGUCAUUCGACUACCCAGCAAAACAGGCCAAUCUUUAUAGCGACUGGAAAUUUGAAUAAAUAUAACGAAAGCCAUGGA